UACGUAGGGUGCAAGCGUUAAUCGGAAUUACUGGGCGUAAAGCGUGCGCAGGCGGUUUUGUAAGUCUGACGUGAAAGCCCCGGGCUCAACCUGGGAAUGGCAAUGGAUACUGGCAGGCUAGAGUGCGGUAGAGGGUAGUGGAAUUCCCGGUGUAGCGGUGAAAUGCGUAGAGAUCGGGAGGAACACCAGUGGCGAAGGCGGCUACCUGGACCAGCACUGACACUGAGGCACGAAAGCGUGGGUAGCAAACAGG
rnacentral:rRNA from 1 species